AGGGGAGACGAGCGUAAGGAAAUAUAGAAAGAGUAUAUACACAUGGAAACAGAGGUAGAUUGGAGCUGUUGAAGGGAGGAACAUAGGAGGAAAUGAUGACAGAUUAGAGUUAUUGAAGAAAAGAACAGAAGCGAUAGCGGCGUAAAGGAGAAAAGAAGAUAAUGAAGGUGAAGGAAACAGGUAGAUUGGAGCUGUAGAAGGGAGGAACAUAGAUGGAAAUGAUGACAGAUUAGAGUUAUUUAAGGAAAGAACAGAAGAAGCGAUACAAAUUAAGCGACGUAAAGGAGAAAAGAAGAUAAUGAAGGUGAAGGAAACAGGUAUAUUGGAGCUGUAGAAGGGAGGAACAUAGAUGGAAAUGAUGACAGAUUAGAGUUAUUUAAGGAAAGAACAGAAGAAGCGAUACAAAUUAAGCGACGUAAAGGAGAAAAUAGAAGAAGAGGAAGAUGAAGAUGAAGGAAACAGAGGUAGAUUGGAGCUGUAGAAGGGAGGAACACAGAUGGAAAUGAUGACAGAUUAGAGUUAUUUAAAGAAAGAACAGAAGAAGCGAUACAUAGCGGUGUAAAGGAGAAAAAAGAUAAAGAGGAAGAGGAAGGGAACAGAGGUAGAAGGAAAAGUGGAUUGGACUUGUGUAAGGGAAGAACGUAACGAGGAAAGGUGGAGAAAGGAAGAGAGAAAAGGAAGAAGGGGAUGGAAGAGAAUGGGGAGAGAGAGAAGUGGAAGUGUGUGCAUGUGUGUGUGUGUGUGUGUGUGUGUGUGUGUGUGUGUGUGUGUGUGUGUGUGUGUGU